AUUGAGCGCUGGCGGCAUGCCUUACACAUGCAAGUCGAACGGUAACAGGUCUUCGGAUGCUGACGAGUGGCGAACGGGUGAGUAAUACAUCGGAACGUGCCUAGUAGUGGGGGAUAACUACUCGAAAGAGUGGCUAAUACCGCAUGAGAUCUACGGAUGAAAGCAGGGGAUCGCAAGACCUUGUGCUACUAGAGCGGCCGAUGGCAGAUUAGGUAGUUGGUGGGAUAAAAGCUUACCAAGCCGACGAUCUGUAGCUGGUCUGAGAGGACAAUCAGCCACACUGGGACUGAGACACGGCCCAGACUCCUACGGGAGGCAGCAGUGGGGAAUUUUGGACAAUGGGCGCAAGCCUGAUCCAGCAAUGCCGCGUGCAGGAUGAAGGCCUUCGGGUUGUAAACUGCUUUUGUACGGAACGAAAAGCCCUGGAUUAAUACCCUGGGGUCAUGACGGUACCGUAAGAAUAAGCACCGGCUAACUACGUGCCAGCCGCCGCCGUCGUAA
rnacentral:rRNA from 1 species